AGAAAUUUAAGUUAACAGAC
rnacentral:tRNA from 1 species